UACGGGGGAUGCAAGCGUUAUCCGGAAUUAUUGGGCGUAAAGCGUUUGUAGGUGGCUUCUUAAGUCUGCUGUUAAAUAUUGAGGCUCAACCUUGAUCCAGCAACAGAUACUGAUUAGCUAGAGUGUAACAAAGGUAGAAGGAAUUCCCAGUGUAGCGGUGAAAUGCGUAGAUAUUGGGAAGAACACCAGUGGCGAAAGCGUUCUACUAGGUUAUUACUGACACUGAGAAACGAAAGCUAGGGGAGCGAAUGGG
rnacentral:rRNA from 1 species